AGAGUACACCAAGCUAGCUCUGAGUCCACUGGGACAGGAAGAAGAUCUGACAAGGAUAAGAUCACAGGCCAUCCAUCUCCUGAACCUUAGAGAUGUACCACAGUUCAUGGCAGCAUUGACAGAGAAGCACUUAAGGGAGGGCCAUAGUUCACUUUGCAGAGUGUGUGUUGAUCAUGUCUGGCUAAUGCAGAAAAUGCAAAUGCCCUGUUGACAGGGAAUGCUUACUUCUUGCCCUUAAGGGCAACAGAAAAAACUGUGUUCAAGGAACCUGGAAGAAUCUGAAAUCUUGCCAAGCAACUGAAGAAAGAGAUGGAUGAAGUAUUCGCCAUGUGGGUAUUGCUAGUAAGGGGCUACUUUAUUACAUGGUUCAGGAAGACACUGAUGUUUGAUUUUUUGCCUUGAUACCUUUCAUUUGUGAUAAACAGCAAGCAGAUUUUUCAGAUACUGGUGACUCGAUGACCAAACAACUACCUAAUUAGGCAGCCAUUUUCAGACUGGCUUUCUAGUAGAAAACUUCUCAAAACUACUCCUUCCUUUCUGUCUCUCUCUUUGCACUAAAAGAUGCAAACUGAACUUAGCAAUGAUAGUGACUCAUUAGGCAUCGGCACUUCCAGCAAAUGCACUUGUUGUGUGCUCAUCUGCUCAGUGCCAUUGGGAAAAUAAAUGUUGAGGAGAGUUUGUUUUCUGUGUCAUCACGGUGCUGAUGAUUCAGUAUCAGUAUUGUUAACUGUUUCAGGUCACAUGCAAACACACAGAACUCCCAUUUGCCAUUUUCUACUGGCUAAUGGGUCCCAUCACAUGCAUGUUAAAUAUAUCAUAAUCAGCCUUUUCUCCAGGAAAUCAUUACUUGCUGUUGAUUAUUGGUUGCUCCUUUGCUGCCAUAGAAGGUAAAGAUUUUAAGUUGAUACAGAUCCCAGAUUUUGUCAUGGAUAUUUACUGAUCUGAUAUGUUUACUACUGUUAAGAAACACAGCAGUGCAAAGAAAUAUGUGUGACAAAAGGCGUGGCUUAAGGGAGCUGGCUUCUAGCCCAGUCCAAUUGUCAUCUUCUAUUGAUUAAAAUACUUAAAUGCUAAUUGAAUUAAGCAAAGACUUUACUCUGACAUCUUACAUUGUCUUUCUUUCUGUGGGAGGCUUUUGAAAAAGUGAUGACAUUACAUUUCAGUGAUGAAUAGCUUUCAUUUUAUGGCUUUCAAAAGCAUUGUUUCCUAAAGGAUGGGAAGUAAAAAAAAAACUGAUACAAGGGAACAGUUAUUGUACUGAUUUUCAGAUUGCUUUGCUUUGGUUUGUUUGUUAUUAGAGUUCCAAAGAAAUCUUUGAAAGAUCAGGCAUAUUUCAUUUAUGCAGCAAUGUCAGCCUGAAUUUGAAGUGAGCCUGAAGCUGUGACUGAGUCACUCUACCUUUAAAAUAGAUCCUUAUUUGGAUAAUGAGAGAUUAGUAACACUAAUUGCUACCUUACCAUCAGAAUAUGUGAAAUACUAAUUCAGAGACUCGCCAAAGUGGCACAUUUCCCAGCCUAUCUUAGAAAUAGUGGAGAGGUGAGUAGAUCAGUAUGGAUUUACAUAAUUUGGUAGGGCUGCCAUGGAGACAAAGAAGUGGGUGUCAUGUAUGCAGUCCAUGUGGCAUCUUGCAAUGGUGUUGUGGAGGCACUGGGCAGAGAAACUCCUGGUGGUAGCUAAAAAAAAAGUGUCUCCUAGUGAGGGCAGCAGAAUUCAGGUUCUAAAAUCAAACUAUUCAAAUUUAAUUUCUGUGGCAAUUUCUAAAACAUUACAAACAGUGAACUGUCUGAAUGAAUCUUUGAAGCUUUGGAAAACUUUGUAUAGAACAGCAAAUGCAAUUUA